UACGUAGGGGGCUAGCGUUGUCCGGAUUUAUUGGGCGUAAAGAGCGUGUAGGCGGCCAGGUAGGUCUGCUGUGAAAACUCGAGGCUCAACCUCGAGACGCCGAUGGAAACCAUGUGGCUAGAGUCCGGAAGAGGAGAGUGGGAAUUCCUGGUGUAGCGGUGAAAUGCGCAGAUAUCAGGAAGAACACCCGUGGCUAAGGCGGCUCUCUAGUACGGUACUGACGCUGAGACGCGAAAGCGUGGGGAGCGAACAGG
rnacentral:rRNA from 1 species